rnacentral:rRNA from 1 species
CCUACGGGUGGCAGCAGUGAGGAAUAUUGGUCAAUGGGCGAGAGCCUGAACCAGCCAAGUCGCGUGAAGGAUGACGGCCCUACGGGUUGUAAACUUCUUUUGUCAGGGAGCAAAUGGGUCCACGCGUGGGCUUAGCGAGAGAAUCUGAAGAAAAAGCAUCGGCUAACUCCGUGCCAGCAGCCGCGGUAAUACGGGGGAUGCGAGCUGUAUCCGGAUUAAUUGGGUUAAAAGGAUGCGUAGUCGGAAUAUCAAGUCAGCGGUAAAAAUUCGGGGCCCAACCCCGUCGUGCCGUUGAAACUGAUGUUCUUGAGUGGGCGAGAGGUAUGCGGAAUGCGUGGUGUAGCGGUGAAAUGCAUAGAUAUCACGCAGAACCCCGAUUGCGAAGGCAGCAUACCGGCGCCCAACUGACGCUGAUGCACGAAAGCGUGGGUAUCGAACAGGAUUAGAUACCCGGGUAGUC